GUGGAUGUAGCUCAGUGGUAGAAUAUUUGCAUAGCAUCCACAAUCCCCUGGGUUUGAUCCCCAGCACUACA
rnacentral:tRNA from 1 species